UUGGAACAUGCAUUCUAUUCAUUUGUAUUGCAAACGUUGAUCAACAAACAUCAAUUCAAACAAUCCAGGUGAAAAGAAUUCAGGGUAAGAAAAAAUAAUUGGCCGUAACGUCCCUACACGGUUUAGACGCCAAACCGAAUACAAAAGAAAGUUGGAAACCACAAAAAAAACGUCCUUUGUCCACAUGGCCUUAACGUAAUAUUUUGACUCAACAUUAUUUUUUCUAAUUCAAUAAAUGUAAUCAGUAAUAAAUAAUCAAAAUAUAA